ACAAGUCCCGCUGUCUUUUAUAGGGGCUGCUGACACCUUUGGACCAUUUGCUGGUUGUAUGUAAUGUUCCCAAUCAGCCCAGUGCUGCUACAGGAGUGCUACGGCUGCUAAAGCCUUUUGGACAAGUUUUCAGAGCUCUUGUACUUCAUGGAAACAAGGUGGAUGUUGAUCAGUGCCUUGGGAACAAUAGCAGCAUGCAGAUGGUUUUAGAGAUGGAAUCCGCUUCUGUUGCUUUAUCUGUAUAUGAGUGGUCUCAAAAAAUUCCUUGUGUUUAUCACAACCAUCAUCUGUCUUUCCUCAGAGGAUGCCAUGUACAGAAAAACACAUCUGAGGUCCAUUCAGCCUAAUAUCCUCACAGUUUUAUCCCCUUAAAUAUUGUAUAUUUUCAUUAUCUUUGUAAUAAAAUACAAUGAAACUAGGUCA